CGAUUGAUUCGAAAUAGAAACUGGUUAAGAUAUGAAGCAGAAAUAACAGAUCAAUAGCUGAAAAAGUAGUAAUGAACAAGUAACACGUACAACAUAUUUCUGUUAUGUGAAAUGUUCAUUUGACAGACUCAUACACAUUCUUUAUUGUUUAAUGUUUAGCUCAUGUGUAAUGUUACAUAUUUACCUAUAGGGUGUAUUGAUUAGGCAGUGAAUAAUAAUGCCCCAGUUUGGUAUGAUUCGGUAUGGUUUGCUAUUCCACUUUACCAUCCCAACUCGUAUCAUAGUUUAAUAUUUUAGACUACUUUCUAGAACAGAAUAUUUUCAUAAAUCUCCAUGAUUAGGUUAAUUGUACUGAAAUUUUAAGUCAAAUAUCUGAAAUAAAAACACAGUUAACUCCGUUGUUUUUUUUUUUUUUU